rnacentral:rRNA from 1 species
CAAGUCGCACGGUGUAGCAAUACACAGUGGCGAACGGGUGAGUAAUGAAUCGCUAAUGUACCCCGGACUCUGGGAUAGCUACCCGAAAGGGUAGGUAAUACCAGAUGAGACCACGAACAGGCAUCUGUUUGUGCUCAAAGGUCCGCCGGUCUGGGAGCAGGCGAUUUCGUAUCAGCUAGUUGGUGAGGUAACGGCUCACCAAGGCGACGACGCGUAGCCGGACUGAGAGGUUGGCCGGCCACAUUGGGACUGAGACACUGCCCAGACUCCUACGGGGGGCUGCAGUAACGAAUCUUCCGCAAUGCACGAAAGUGUGACGGAGCGACGCCGCGUGUAGGACGAAGCCCUUCGGGGUGUAAACUACUGUCAGGGGUUAGAAAGUUCUGAUCAACCCCAGAGGAAGGCACGGCUAACUCUGUGCCAGCAGCCGCGGUAAGACAGAGGUGCCAAGCGUUAGGCGGAAUCACUGGGCUUAAAGCGUGUGUAGGCGGAUUUGUAAGUACCUUGUGAAAUCCCACGGCUUAACCGUGGAACUGCUCGGUAUACUGCUUAUCUUGAGCCACUUAGGGGCUACCGGAACAAAUGGUGGAGCGGUGAAAUGCGUAGAUAUCAUUUGGAACGCCAAUGGUGAAAACAGGUAGCUGGGAGUGUGCUGACGCUGAGACACGAAAGCCAGGGGAGCGAACGGGAUUAGAUACCCCGGUAGUCCUGGCCGUAAACGAUGUCGACUAGAUCGUGGUGCCUCUGACGGUAUCACGGUCGAAGCAAAAGUGCUAAGUCGACCGCCUGGGAAGUACGGUCGCAAGGCUAAAACUCAAAGGAAUUGACGGGGGCUCACACAAGCGGUGGAGCAUGUGGUUCAAUUCGAAGCAACGCGCAGAACCUUACCUGGGCUUGACAUGCUAGGAUUAUCUCCAUGAAA